rnacentral:rRNA from 1 species
CCUACGGGAGGCAGCAGUGAGGAAUAUUGGUCAAUGGACGAGAGUCUGAACCAGCCAAGUAGCGUGAAGGAUGACUGCCCUAUGGGUUGUAAACUUCUUUUAUAUGGGAAUAAAAUGUUCCACGUGUGGGAUUUUGUAUGUACCAUAUGAAUAAGGAUCGGCUAACUCCGUGCCAGCAGCCGCGGUAAUACGGAGGAUCCGAGCGUUAUCCGGAUUUAUUGGGUUUAAAGGGAGCGUAGGUGGAUUGUUAAGUCAGUUGUGAAAGUUUGCGGCUCAACCGUAAAAUUGCAGUUGAAACUGGCAGUCUUGAGUACAGUAGAGGUGGGCGGAAUUCGUGGUGUAGCGGUGAAAUGCUUAGAUAUCACGAAGAACUCCGAUUGCGAAGGCAGCUCACUGGACUGCAACUGACACUGAGGCACGAAAGCGUGGGUAUCGAACAGGAUUAGAUACCCCAGUAGUC